rnacentral:misc_RNA from 1 species
GGGACUUCCCUUAACUGGGUUGGGGCAUGAAUAUGGGUUUUGGUUUAUGUUUUUGCAAGUGAGUCGAAAUGGAUAGUGUUUAUUUCUAAGAAAUCCUGUGUUGUGGCUUUGGAUUUUAGGUUCUUUGGGAGUGCUUGCCUUUAGGUUGGUAGCUUGAAGGUUGAAGGGAGCUGUUUGAUGCUCAACUUAGGUCUAAGGGUUUACUUUUUUCUGUUUGAAGUCUUCUCUUGCAUUGGCUAUAUGCAUCUCUGAGAUUCGCUUCUACACCAUGGCUGGGAAGGUCGUCAUUAUGGCCUAUAGGGCCAACGAGCUCUAUUGCAGUAUCCUCUUAUCAAGGCGGAGAUGAGCUGCAUCUUAAUGGAGUUUCUAGAGGUCAAUGAUAUGAGAGGAUUGUGGUUUGGGAUAGGCAAUGUUUCUGUCCUUUGUGUUGCUAGUUGUGUAUUAGCUUUAAUCCUUAUGCAGCGACUUGGCGUCAAGCCUUGCAAUGGUCGAUGGUGUGCUUCUUCAACGAGGUCUCUUUUUGUAUUCUAUUCCUAGAUUAGGGUUAGGUCAAUUUUUUGGGCUUGGUUUGGGUGGGUUUUGGGUUGGUUUGGUUUGUGGUUGGUUCUAUUAGGCUUGGUUUUAUGCCAUAUACUGUGGGCCUUUGGUUUCUUUUUAUUUUAAUGGACUCAUAUCUCUUGC